rfam:Buchnera aphidicola str. APS (Acyrthosiphon pisum) genomic DNA, complete sequence.
GCGUUCUUAGCUCAGCUGGAUAGAGCAACGGCCUUCUAAGCCGUAGGUCACAGGUUCAAAUCCUGUAGAACGCA